AUUGAACGCUGGCGGCAUGCUUUACACAUGCAAGUCGAACGGCAGCGCGGGCUUCGGCCUGGCGGCGAGUGGCGAACGGGUGAGUAAUGCAUCGGAACGUGCCCAGUAGUGGGGGAUAGCCCGGCGAAAGCCGGAUUAAUACCGCAUACGACCUGAGGGUGAAAGCGGGGUACCGAAAGGCCUCGCGCUAUUGGAGCGGCCGAUGUCGGAUUAGCUAGUUGGUGGGGUAAAGGCUUACCAAGGCGACGAUCCGUAGCUGGUCUGAGAGGACGACCAGCCACACUGGGACUGAGACACGGCCCAGACUCCUACGGGAGGCAGCAGUGGGGAAUUUUGGACAAUGGGGGCAACCCUGAUCCAGCCAUGCCGCGUGCGGGAAGAAGGCCUUCGGGUUGUAAACCGCUUUUGUUCGGGAAGAAAUCCUCUGGGCUAAUACCCCGGGGGGAUGACGGUACCGGAAGAAUAAGCACCGGCUAACUACGUG
rnacentral:rRNA from 1 species